UACGUAGGGGGCAAGCGUUGUCCGGAAUCAUUGGGCGUAAAGCGCGUGUAGGCGGUUCAGUAAGUCUGCUGUGAAAACUCGAGGCUUAACCUCGAGCUGUCGGCGGAAACCAUCUGGCUAGAGUCCGGAAGAGGAGAAUGGAAUUCCCGGUGUAGCGGUGAAAUGCGCAGAUAUCGGGAAGAACACCCGUGGCGAAGGCGGUUCUCUGGGACGGUACUGACGCUGAGACGCGAAAGCGUGGGGAGCGAACAGG
rnacentral:rRNA from 1 species